CUAGAAUAUCCCCACAAAAGCCUCACGCGCUGAAAAGAGAAGAAUUUAGCCCUGUUGCGGCAUCCUAGUCCGCCGUUGUCUUUGGAGGUCAGGCUUCUAGAUCGGCACAACGUAGGUGUUUCUGUUGGAUCUGUUGUUUCUCUUCUAGGUUGGUAGAUAUUGUCUAAUCUGAUAGCCGUGCAGAGAAACAACAGAUCGAUGCCGGAUCAUCCUACCGCCACGAGUUUAAUUGAAUCUCUAAAUCCCAAAGCCUCUAGAUUUAGUUCAAUUCCGAUUGUUGGGUUUAUGGCCAUCAUCAUCAUCAAGUGGGUUUUAGAGAUUGGGUUCACAUACUAAUAACGUGAUGGCAGUGGGGUUCUAAUGUGAUGAGAACUGGAUGUAUUCAGGAUCCGAGGAUGGAAUAGUAAACAUUUGGGAUUUGAGAGUUCCAGGUUGCCAAAGGGAAUAUGAAAGCCAUGCAGCUGUUAACACUGUUGUGCUGCACCCAAAUCAGACUGAACUAUAUCUGAGGACCAAAAUGGCAAUAUCCGUGUUUGGGAUCUGACAGCAAAUUCUUGCAGUUGUGAAUUGAGGCAAAGAAGCAAAAGAUUUCUGAAAUAAAGGCUGGGAUAUAUAAAGCAGAAUCUUUGGUAAUUGAAUGUCUUGUUCUUUGUAUAGAUAAGAUGUCUCUAUUGUCUUGUCGUGUUGAUUUUUAUUAUCCCUGGCUUGUGGUAGUGGGUUCAGUGAGUGGAUUUACUUAGAAUGAAACUGUGUUAGUAUUUGUCUUACACUCUAAGAAUUAACAAAAUGUGAGU